GACGAACGCUGGCGGCGUGCUUAACACAUGCAAGUCGAACGGAAAGGCCCUGCUUUUGUGGGGUGCUCGAGUGGCGAACGGGUGAGUAACACGUGAGUAACCUGCCCUUGACUUUGGGAUAACUUCAGGAAACUGGGGCUAAUACCGGAUAGGAGCUCCUGCUGCAUGGUGGGGGUUGGAAAGUUUCGGCGGUUGGGGCUGGACUCGCGGCUUAUCAGCUUGUUGGUGGGGUAGUGGCUUACCAAGGCUUUGACGGGUAGCCGGCCUGAGGGGGUGGCCGGCCACAUUGGGACUGAGAUACGGCCCAGACUCCUACGGGAGGCAGCAGUGGGGAAUAUUGCACAAUGGGCGGAAGCCUGAUGCAGCAACGCCGCGUGCGGGAUGACGGCCUUCGGGUUGUAAACCGCUUUCGCCUGUGACGAAGCGUUAGUGACGGUAAUGGGUAAAGAAGCACCGGCUAACUACGUG
rnacentral:rRNA from 1 species